UACGUAGGGUGCGAGCGUUAAUCGGAAUUACUGGGCGUAAAGCGGGCGCAGGCGGUCCGCAAAGUCUGAUGUGAAAGCCCCGGGCUCAACCUGGGAACUGCAUUGGAAACUAACGGGCUCGAGUGUGGCAGAGGGGGGUGGAAUUCCACGUGUAGCAGUGAAAUGCGUAGAGAUGUGGAGGAACACCGAUGGCGAAGGCAGCCCCCUGGGCUGAGAUUGACGCUCAGGCACGAAAGCGUGGGGAGCAAACAGG
rnacentral:rRNA from 1 species